rnacentral:lncRNA from 1 species
GUUUUGUUGGAACACAGCCAUGCCCAUUAUGUUCAUAGGAUCUGUGAUUGUUUUUAUGCUACAAUGGCAGAGCCCAACAGUUAUGACAGAGUGUAUGGCUCAUAAAGCCUAGAAUGUUGACUACUGGUCCUUUACAGAAAAAGUUGGCUGACUCUUGCUCUAGGAGUCAAUUUGAAGUCCUAAACGAAAAACACCAGGGGUUCAAAUACUGAAUACAAACAAGUGAAUGAUUGGAUAAGCAAAGAAGGUAAGAAUAACGAAGAAGUCACAAGAGGAACAGGGGCUUGAUUUGGUGUAAUAUUAUGUAUUCCUCUAGCAAUUCACUUCAGAGAGACAGUGAUUUAAUUUCCACAAAACAGUGGCCCGAAUACAUUCAAGGUAGAUGCAUCAGAAAGCCUUUAUUAUUUUUUUCCUGAAAGAGCAGUUACAUUUUUAUAUAUUUCUGAGGUUGACAGUCCAGUGGCGAUUGAGUGAAAUAAAGGGCCUUGCUCAACGUGGACAAUCAAGCCCCUCCUGGAAAUGCUGACAGGGGACCCUGGUGUCAGAGGUGUGAGGAUUGUCCAUUCAUUAGGGUGAGACGUAGGAAGCCUAUUACUUGCCAAAUCCUAGAUGUUCACUCCUGGGGGGAUCAUCUAACUUCUCUGGAUCUCAAUUUUCUUGUAUAUGAAAAGCUCUGAAAAUACUGACCUAUCUGAGCAUUGUUGUGAAAAUAAAAGGGGUUAAUGGCAGAGAAAGUGCUGUGAAAAGUUUUAAUGUAUUGUUUUUAUACAUUAAAAAGAGUUCAUUAAUAAUGUGAAAAUGAAGGAAAAAAUCGCCCACUUCACUGGGGGAUGGGCAUUUACUGUGCUCUAUGCUGUGGAGACAUAAAGUGGAAUGGGACUGGUGUUUGCCCUCAGAGAGCUUCCAUCUAGUUGAGGAACAAAAUGAUAUUGAUAGUGGCAACCUCUUCCGUUUGUACUGCAUUUUAUAGACCUGCAAAUUGGACCAACUACGUAUACUCAAGAAGUGCAUGCCACAAGCUCUGCAUGGGUUUGAAUCCUACUUUACAGGGUGAUAUGGAGCCUGUGGCCAAAAUUCAGAAGGAAGCUGCACUGCUCCCAAGUGACACAUCUAAUCUCAAGUAUUCUAAAAAAUUCAACUUAUUGUUCUCUUUUUGCCUGACUGUAAAAGUAAGCCCAGAGGACGGGCCCUUGGGUGAGAGCAGAGGCCACAGCCCAAAACAAUGUGGUCUGAUGGGACCAGUUGGUUCUUCUGGCCCCAGAAUUCUCCUUAUCAUCUCUCCUCCCCCAAAUUCAUUUCUUUUAUUAACAUUUAUUAUUUUUCCAGGCAUUUAG